AGUCUAAGCAAGGCUCUAAGAAAAGUCACUGAAAAUGUCAGCCCAGCCAACAGAGAAAGGCUCGGAGAGCAGCUAAGACAUGGCAUAUACAUUUUCAUCUAUUCAAUCUGACCCUGGGCCCACUGCCAUAAUCUUUUUUAAGCACUUUGGAUAAGUGGAAUGCAGCUGCACAAAAGCAAGAUAAAGCUGGACCAUCAAGAUGAUGAACAAUCUGGAUGAAGAGCCUUCGAGACGCACACAAAAGCUGGAGAAGUGCAGUUGAUGUAGGCCUGGACAGCUGAAGAAUGCUGCGGUCUAACGAUGAAUAGCCCUCAUUUGUGAAUAUACAGAUUUUCCACGAUGAAUAAAAACUGAGUGGAGGUCACAAUAAAUAAACUUUUUCCCCCCU
rnacentral:lncRNA from 1 species